rnacentral:lncRNA from 1 species
AUGCUGGACUGUCCAGCGAUUCAUCUUUACAGAUGCGCCUGAGCUUUGAAGUGAACAUGCACUAAUUGAGUUCUGCGAAGAUAUCUGGAUCAGCGGAACAAUUUGGGGUUAGAAUGCCCAGCCUCACGAUCUUUUCCAUCAGGAAAAAAGUCUUAUUAGGAAUCACCUAAAACGUCAGCGUUUAAUGAGCACUGGCAUCCAGACGGUAGUGCCUUGCAAUGGAAAAUGUGAAGUUUGUCUUGAUUGGGAAAGAGAGACGAAAUAAAAUGACUGGAAAAGGUCUUAUAGAAAUUUCUCGCCGAAAAGUGCAUUACAAAGUGCAUUACAUAUGGUAACUGAUCGAGGAGUGGCAUCACAAAGUGGAGCAACUAGUUGCAAAUUCCAGUGAUUCCAUUGACAAGCGAACAAAUGUGCCAUGUGACAAAGUAGAAUAUAGCGUCCAAAUCAAUCCUCCAAGUCAAUCUUGUGGCCACGAGGCGUGGUGGAAAUUUUCUUCUUCUUUGUCACAUCCAGAAUUCCGACAACAGCUCGGAAAGCUCUAGAUGCUGAUCGGUUCUUUGGUGUCCCACCUCCGUCGAUUUAGUUAGGUACGCAACUGAAAAAAACACGGAGUUAUCACGAGGUGAGAUCCCUCAUCGGCUAAAGUUGUGGAGGCCCCUGCCAUGAGAUCGGCAUGUACCUGCAUCCAUCUGGGGGGAUUUCAAUACGUCUCUUUUAGCCUGCCCAGAUGACUCCGACGUCACGGGUAAAAAAUUAAAAAAGCAAUAAAACAAAACACAAGAAUCUCUCCGUUAGACGUCCUCGUCAUCGAUAUUGAGUUUGCUGGACUAUCGUCAUCAAUGCCCGGUUCAUACGCAGAACGAGAUUGCAAACGGAUUCUCAAUCACCUACAUUUAUCAGAAAGGGCUGGAUUCGAGAAAGAUCAAAAUUGGAGAGGCUGCAGCAUGGUAAUGCGAGUCGAUCACCGGAAACGCAGCUGGAAGAAUCAGCCUCACCCAUCCGUUUGUGAGAGAGCCGGUCUAACCGCUUGCGAAGGUAAGCUUCGCAGAGGCUUCGAAGGUGGGGGCACAGACCUAUUCACGACACCAGGAAUUGCGAAGUCGACCAUGAGCGUGUCAGGAUCACAAGCUGAAAGAUCGAGUUAUGCGCUUGGGGUGCUGGGGAGGAUCAGAUGCGAUCCACUGGAGGACGUCGAUGCUGGAUGCUCCCUCCACAUGGCAAGCAACAUGCGCCUAGUGGUGUUGGAGAAGUCACGGCAAGCCCUGCAACUGCAUGCAGAAGGCCAACGUUUGCUUUCC